AUGCAUAGGAAGGAGCAGUCUGUAAAUCAGUCAUACAAGCAGUGGCUCAAUGAUGAGGUUGCGGUAAAAUGGUCUGAUAAUGAUGAUGAUGGAGUCCCGUACCCUUUGCAUGCUGAAUUUUGUGGAGAUUCUUACUCGUCACAAAGAAGGGAAUGGACUGACGUAAGAAUUGUGAGAAGACUGCGAGGGCUGCGUCUCCAAGAGAGGCUUGCUGCUCGCAAUCAUUUCAGAGCGUUGCGUGAUAGUCAGCGAGCGGGCGGGCGCAAGCCUAGCACCCUAUUCAGGCUUGCAAUGGAUAACCUUAGGGAUGCCGAGCUUGUAGAGGAGUGUACCAGGGAUUGUGAUACUCCAGAAUAUCUUACUUGUCCACUAUCGGGCGAGCUUAUGAUUGACCCGGUGACAAUUGCCACGGGGAAGACAUUUGACCGACAGUACCUCAAGGAUUGGUUUGAGAAGAACGGGCAUAUCUGUCCUGUGACCGGCGAGCCUGUUUCAGGUGCCAUUGUCCGGAACGAGCGUAUCCGAGGGUACUUGCGCGAGUGGGAAGAAUCCAAGAUGGAGCAGAUCACGAAGGUCUGA
rnacentral:rRNA from 1 species